rnacentral:rRNA from 1 species
UACGAGGGACCCAAGCGUUAUCCGGAUUUAUUGGGUUUAAAGGGUGCGUAGGCGGAUUAUUAAGUCAGUGGUGAAAGCCUGCAGCUUAACUGCAGAACUGCCAUUGAUACUGAUGAUCUUGAGUAUGAUUGAGGUGGGCGGAAUGUGUCAUGUAGCGGUGAAAUGCUUAGAUAUGACACAGAACACCGAUUGCGAAGGCAGCUCACUAAGCCAUAACUGACGCUGAUGCACGAAAGCGUGGGGAGCGAACAGG